UUACGGCCACAUCACUCUGAAACACUGGUUCCCAUAUGAUCAGUGAAGUUAAGCAAUGUUGAACCUAGUCAAUAUCUAGAUGGGUGACUAUUAGGGAAUACCUGGUGCUGUG